ACUGUCAACACCAUAGCUACUGCUAUGCAACUUAUCAGGUUAGAAGCCGUCAGGGUCAAAAAACUGCUUAGAAGGAGUGCACGCGUGUUUGCAAGCCGCAGGGACCAAAUUCUUCAUUCAGAUUAACCUUCGUGUUUGCAGCGUCCACUGAAACAAGAUUUUUUUAUCCAAUAUGGUGAUUGAGAUUAUUUAAGGUUAAUAAUAAACGAAUCACGAAGACUGAUUAUCGACUGAUUAAUUUGAUUAGUGCCAAUAUAAAACAUAAAAGAGACUUCUUAUUCUUGAAUCUUGAUAGUAAUUUACCCUUUAGAUAAAUAAUAAUAAUGUGAUGGCUUAAGCCCGAACUGAUUGUGAUAAUUUAGUUUGAAGUUAAGUUAAGUUUAUAAUUAUAUUUAUUAUGUGUG